rnacentral:rRNA from 1 species
UACGUAGGGUGCGAGCGUUGUCCGGAAUUAUUGGGCGUAAAGAGCUUGUAGGCGGUUUGUCGCGUCUGCUGUGAAAAUCCGGGGCUCAACCCCGGACUUGCAGUGGGUACGGGCAGACUAGAGUGUGGUAGGGGAGACUGGAGUUCCUGGUGUAGCGGUGAAAUGCGCAGAUAUCAGGAGGAACACCGAUGGCGAAGGCAGGUCUCUGGGCCACUACUGACGCUGAGAAGCGAAAGCGUGGGGAGCGAACAGG